rnacentral:rRNA from 1 species
UACGGGGGGGGCAAGCGUUGUUCGGAAUUACUGGGCGUAAAGGGCUCGUAGGCGGCCAACUAAGUCGGAUGUGAAAUCCCCAGGCUCAACCUGGGAACUGCAUCCGAUACUGGAUGGCUUGAAUCCAGGAGAGGGAUGCAGAAUUCCAGGUGUAGCGGUGAAAUGCGUAGAUAUCUGGAGGAAUACCGGUGGCGAAGGCGGCAUCCUGGACCGGCAUUGACGCUGAGGAGCGAAAGCUAGGGGAGCAAACGGG